AUUCAUUCGCGCGCCUAGCUGGCUCGGUGCUCCAGACGCCGCGGGCAGCCGGGGCCGCUGCGCACCGGCUAAAGAGCGCGCCCGCUGGGAAGUAGCGCGGGCCUUCCUCCCGCAUCCCGAGUCUCGGCGAGACAGACGCCGGGUGGAAUGGCGAUGGACCAGAGCUGGUCUCUGCUCUCAACGCUCCGCUACCUCUCGCCGGUCCACUGCCCCCGCGCGGCCCUGGUCUGUCUCUCUACCCACACCUACCCCACCGCCGAGCGGCCCUGAGUCACCAGCGACGACGCGCGACCCUUGGCCUUGGCCCGAGUCGCGUAGCUGCAGUUCCCGGCAGCGCUGAGAACUGAGCUCUAGCGCGGGGUUCAACCUGUGUUCAGAGAGUACUUCGGAGAGGGCAAGGCUAGCGAGGAGGCAGAGUCUUGACUUUGCACGGUAAUCCUCGGAGUCCCAAGAUUCUAUCCGUCUGGGUGGCCCGAGGCGGUGGGGAGAUGGAAGCUGAUGCACUUGACACUCUGGAGAGCGAGGUGAAACUGCGCUGCCGAACAACCAAUGCAAGCACAGGGAUACAAUCGCUGGACUUCUUUCAUUACCCCGGGGCUCCUAGCUUUCUCAUAGCUCCUAUCCAUCCCGGCAUCGCGGUUCCCUGAAUUGUCCAGAGGCAUCAUCACCGGUCCAUGAGAGUGAAGGGAGGCCACAGAGGCCAGGCCAAAGGGGUUCGAUUAGUGGACAGAACCCUGUCUAAGAGCCCUCUGACACUUUUCUGACAAAGUGCAAAAUAAGGUGGUGAGAGACAGGAUAGACAUCAUUGAGAUUCUGAUUCUGCGGAGGCCCUGAAGUAGAUGAGAGGUGAGAAGCAGGUGUGAAUAAUUCAGGCUCCAGGCAGAAGACAAGGCGGGCUAGGGCCUGUCAGGCAAGGGAAGACACUCGGAGCUGUGAGAUACCAAAGUAGGUGCUGAGGAGGAGGAAAUAAUUUAUUGCAAACCGGUCUUCAGUAACGAACUACAGAAAUGAUUCCUGAAAGUAUAGUCUUGCAAAGUGGUCUUUAGGAAGGCUUCCCAGAGAAGGUGGAUUAAUCUGGAGGAUAGGAGGGAAAUCCCAAAAAGGCAGAGAAGAAUGAGGAAAGGGCAGGGACAGCCAAGGUUCUCAGGAUAAUAAGUCAUGGGAGCGUGCUGGAUACUGGCAAAGACCUGGUGUGAGUUGAGACUGGCCAGACAGGGCAAGUCUAGAUUCUGGAGGACCUUGAAUGCCAGGAGCAGAGUGGACAGGGUGGUGCUUUUUGGAUGAUGUUUGGUAGGUUGGCUCUUUGGGAAAUCCAAGACAGGUCAGGCUUGCAAAUGAAGCCAUCUGGGGAAUGAGGCAAAUAAUGAGAUCAUAGCAGCAUGCCCUGCCUCCCACAUCAGCAUCAGCAUCAGCAUCAGCAUCUGUAUCAGCAUCAGCAUCACCCAGAGACACACAAGUGAAGUGAGAGGGUGUUUGUCUGUAUUUCCAGAAACCUAAGACAAGCUUGAAAUAUUUCUACUAAAGUGAAAAGAAAAUCUCCAGUGUUUUGUUUAGAGCAGAAAGGGGAAGAGGAGGAGGAGAAGCUGGAAUGUGGCAGAGUUUCCACUAGUGUUACCUCUUACUCCUCAGGACUCACAGGACAAAGGGAUAGAGAAGGCUGCCCCUGCACCAGUACCACCACAGAGAAGCAGUGGUGGGCAUCCUUUCAAGGAUGACCAGUCCUCCCUCAGAUGUCAAAGACAGUACUGAGUGAGCUGAGCAAAAUGUCACUGCCAAGGGUCACAGGGACCUUGGAGCUCUCUCCGAGUGUGCAUCUGGGAAGAUGAUGAUAAUGUGGGAGGUGUGUAACACCAGACCCACACUGCCUGGGAAUUCAGCAUUCAGAGAAAGUGAGGGUUUUACAAGCCAGUGUUUACAGUUACACAUGUCCUCUCUCACUGAAGCCACCUCUAAAGCCAUCAGAAGGCUCAUCAAUCUGGUUUGGAUGCUGAAAUCGCUCACAGUGUCUGGAGCUGAUGCCAGAGCAAAAAAGUCUUUUAAAAAGCACCAUGCCAUUUUAACAGCAUAUAAAUAGUUAUAAAACGUGGGGUGUCUCCUCAGGGUAGGUGGUGGUAAACAGCUAGCUGGGCUGGCUGUCAGGGCUCAGGGCAUGGAGCUCAGAAGCAGCAGCAGCUAUUUCUACUCAUGUCCUCUCAUCUCUCUUGGCAUCACUGCCCUGUGACCAUUCUCAGGCUGUCCUUAGUCCAGAAUGAUGCUUCUCCCUCAUCCCCAACAAGAAAAUGCCUGCCUCUGCUUCCCACACCCACAGGCUAUAGUUCUUAAUGGAGGUGCUAUGCCUCUGCUUGGCCCCAGAUCUCAGCCUACAGUCCAGCAAAAGAGGCAGACAAGAGUCUGUGGUUGUUGUAGUUGUUGUCUCUGUUCCCUCCAAGUGCCCGUGUGUAUGGAUACAUGUGCAGGAAUAUAUGUGGCCUGCUUACUAAAAUUGGACUUCAUGCUUUUCCUUAAAUAAUUGAUUUCUUUCUUGUAAUUACUAGUUAUUAGUAACACACGAUUGUUCACUAGAGAAAAAAAAAUAAAAUCUGUAUCUAAUUGU
rnacentral:lncRNA from 1 species